rnacentral:tRNA from 1 species
AGCUGGAGGGUGCGGAAAGGGAGCACGCCGGUCUUAAUAGCCGGAGGACACAGGUUCGAAUCCUGUUCCAGCAA